ensembl:lncRNA
CGGGGAGGGGGCACCCAGCCCCGCCGCAGCCGCGCCGAGCCGCUCCCCGCCCCACGCGGCGCAGGGCAGGCGCCCCGGGCCCGCCCCCGCCGCGCUCCCCGCGGACCCCCGCGCCGGCCCGCGGCGCUCGGAGCGGGCGGGCCCCUGCGCCGGCGGCGGGCGCAGACCGAGGGGAGCCGGGUCCUGCUGCCAGGCCUCGGAACCCUGGCAUCGCCCCCGAGGGAGGGAGUCAUUGGUGGCUGACAGUAUUUGAAUGCCACCCAGAAGGCUGGGCGAGUCGGGAGACCUCACCAGCUGGUUUGCUGGUGACUCGUGAGGGUGACACUGCUCCAGGCCAAGAGGCAGGGACUGCCUCUCUCACUGCCUCCUGCCGACACCAGGCAGACACUUUACCAUCUGAGCCACCAGGGAAGUUCAAGAACCAAGACCCAGCCCCAAAUUAUCCAGUAAGCAGUCAUGAAGCAGUGAAACCUUCUCCUGGAGGGGUUUACCCCUUUACCAAGCCUCAUGUCCAAGGGCAAGAAUAAUUACCAAGACUGCUAUGGUGGACAGAGAGCAUCCUGUGUGUGCCAGGCACUGUGCUGAACUUAGUCCUUUGUCUAGGUAGUUUUUCCAAGGAUAGAUCAUUAAUUAAACAAUCCUACCAGAGUUUGAUUUCUUGUGCUCAAGAUUUCCUGAGCAGUCAAUCCACUGGGUCCCCUUUAUGGCAAGGGACUCAUGUCAAGCACACCACGUGGUCUCUUGGAAGCCCGUCUCUCUUGAUGAAAGGAAGGAAGAAGCAGCUCCACUUCCCCCUUCUUGGGUGGGGGUGUGGGUACUGUCAGCUCAGUCUUCUCCAAAGAGACCCUCUUUACAGGUCUCUAAUAUCCAAUAGCUCAGUCCUAGACUCAAGUGGCUUCCAGUUUUGAGAGUCAUGUGUCUGGUUUUGUGCUCAUUUAUGAGGAAUACAGCCUCCAUGGACCUCUGGGCCUCAGCUGGAAGUUACAACAAUGUAGCAGCCUGCAAGAACUUACCAAGGGCUCCCAGGUGGAUCAGCCAGUAAAGAAUCUGUGCCUCCAGUCCCUAGAUCAGGAAGAUCCCCUGGUGGAGGGCGUGGCAACUGAGUGAUAAUUAUAGGAGUUGUGGGCUGCUGAUAAUUUGCUAAAUUGUACACUUAGAGUUUCAGCAUCUUUCUCUAUGUGAAUUUAUAAAAAUACAGACCAAAAACAUUUGAAAAUUUAUAUAUUCAUUACCACAUGAGAGUUGGAAGGCAUGGGUAGAAAGGGGAAU